CUGCCUCAGCCUCCUGAGUAGCUAGGACUACAGAGACCAUAUGGAUUGCUGUGCAGAGAAUGGAUAGACUGAAUCCAGCAAAAGCAGGGAGAUGACACAAGAGGCCAUUCCAUUGACCAGUUAAUGACCAAUUUGUACUGUCACAUCUCAGUCUACAAACCUUAAAUUCACCUUUGAAGACUCCUAUUCACAAAUGACACAGAAUCCUGUGAUUAUUUUCUUGCAUUUAUUAGCUGAAUCAGUACAAUAAAUAGGCAUUUGCCUCAAUAACUAUGUGGUCAUCUAGAAAUACUAACCAGUAUUGGAACAGCAGGAUACAUAUUCAACUCUUUCCAUCUAUUUAUCAGUUUUCAAAAUUAUGAGAUAAUUAUCUAGCAUCCA